rnacentral:lncRNA from 1 species
UCCUUGUCAUGCUUUCAUUUCGUGUUCUAGACAUUUUUACUAUCGCUAUUGUUGGAACGUGGCGAAGACAAAGUCACUUUCUAUCAUCCGGGUCAUUUUCCCUAAACAGUAACAGUAUCCUAUGAAAAAACUUAUCUGCUUUACUAGGAAUGACAGAUUUUCUGAGAUGUUCGAAUAAAGAGGGUGAAGAAGAGAAACAGCACAUAUUUGUCAUUCAAGUAUCCGAAAGCUUGCGAAAAUUAGAAGAAAGAUGUGGGUAAUGACAUUUUCGAUAGUGAGAGAUGAAUCGCUUAGAAAUUCAUCGAUUACUCGUUGUGUGCCUUUUUCCUGGCCAACUUUCUAUCCGUUUCGACCGAGGUCACAAAGUCCCCUUUCUUUUGUUCAAAAGUCUUCAAUUCAACCUGAGUUACAUCAUCGUCAGCAUUCGAGAACAUGGGACCCAAAUUCCAUCUGUAAAAGCCAGACCUUUUCGUUGCACAAUUAGUCAAUGAGACAAGAACAGAUCACAUGGAAUGUCUAAGCUCUGUCUUAAUCAUUGGGUUUCCCAUUCAUUUUGCUGGCCCCAAACAUACUCUGUGUGGUCCUCAUUAAGAAGAGAAAUUUAGAUUUAUAGUACUGGGUUAUAGCAAUCACUUGCCAGAGGAGGUGGGAUGGAGUUGACCAAAAAGGAUCCAGAGCCCAUAUGUUCCCAGUAGAGCAUUUCAAUCUUAAACCAUGAUCUCAUCUGAUAGAUUGGCCUUCAACAUAGCAGCAGUCUGACAAUUUCUACAUAAUACUGGAAUAGGGGAUCAUGCUUUGCCUCCUCAUAUAAUUCGAUUGUUGCAUUUUAGCCUCAACAAUGGUCUCGCAAUUUCAUGUGCCACAUGUUCACCUCUCUAUGGAGACUGUCUACAUAUCAUUUCGCAAUUGUAAUGAAUCUAUGGGAUAAUGCUGUUUCGAUGUAUUGACUGCAAUUUAAUUAUCUUGGGUUGCAUCAGGUUGUGGCAUACCUCCUAAUAUCGGCAGCAUCUACGGCCGUGCCCAUGACCAACAAGAUGAGAGACAAUGUCGAUAACCUGUUCACCGACUGCUUAGCGGCUUCAAUAAGCAUGGCCUUCUUUGGCUUCCUCACGUUGGCUUUGUCUGCACUUAUUUCCGGAUACAAACUCUCAACCCAGUCCUACAUUUAGUUUUGAGUUCGUUCAGCUCACAUGUCUAUUGCUUGUACUGCUGUUAUACCUUCAUUCUUUUUAUGCACGGGGUUCGAUUAUAUCUUUGUAAAUUUCGAUGGUUUCGUGGAAGGAGUGGUGUGUUUCGGCUUGCCUCUGUAUUUUAGUUUUUGGGUGUUUCAAUCGGUAAAUAUGUACGAUGAAGAAGGUUUAGAAAGUCAGUUGGUCUCUCUCCAAUUCUCUGGCUACGAUGAAGAGAUUCUACUCGACCAUUCAUAAACCAAAUCAUCCCCAGACGAGAAGCAGGACCAGUGUAAUCUGUACAUGAGCAUUCAUUAACAGUUUUUUUUUUUAAUGGUUGAAAAUACGAUUACUAUUGAUUUACUUAGGCAAGUUUGGAGCAAAUACAUCAAAAGCAUCGGCGCAUAAUAAUAAAUCAAAGAGGGCGUUCGGGGGAUUAGCUACCUAAUUACUAGGAAGGCAGUUAGCUCUUUGGGCUUUUGUAAGCCAAUCUUGCUUAUUUAUUGAUUCUCUGCUGCAAUGGGCUAGAGAGAAGCCUGGAAAUUCCUUUAGCUUUGUCCAUGAGCAUUCAUUAACAGUUAAAAGACAGAUAAAUUGCAGGUUCUGUUGUUCGUUGUCUUAAAUAUGCGAAAACCGUCUCUUUGCAUAAGGAAACAACACAAGAAGUUAAUAACAUGCAUGAUAAUAAUUCUAUUUUUGUUUCAGAACUAUUUUUCUAUUUCAGAAAGAAGUCUAGAAUAGAAAUUCGUUUGAUAAUGCAAUGUCAUCUUCCUAUUUCUAAAACAAAUUUUUUGUCCAAAAAUUGGUUUGAAAAAUAAAUAAAAAGUAAACAUUUUCUCCUUCUCUAUUUUUGGAACAUAAAUGAUAAAUAAAUUUUUUUCUCAUCGCUCGCCAUUGCUACUAGUUGGUCGCCCACCCACCACCGCUUGCCGUUUGCCACCUGGCCAUUGCUCACUGCCUACCUGCCGCCCAUCAUCCGCCGUCCAUCGUUUGCUAGUGCCCAGUUGGGAGAAAUUUUGUGUCAUUAUCAAAUGAAUUUCUAUCCCAAAAAUAUAAAUUUUGUGUCGUUAUCAAACAUGUUUUUUUCUUAGAAACUCAUCCACAAAUAGAAAUAGAAAAAUCUAUUUUUGUUCUAUAAAUCAAUUUUUGGCCAUUAUUAUCAAACAUGUAUUUUUCCUCAAAAACUCACCCACAAAUAGAAAUAGAAAAAAUCCAUUUCUGUUUCAUAAAUCAAUUUCUGAUCAGAAUGGUUAUCAUUCACGCUCUAACGGAGAGGAUUUGGCAAAUGUAGAAGCAGCAUUUUCGUGUUUGAAACACAUCCUAAAAUAGAGUUGCAGUUUUCAUCUCUCAAUCUUAUUAAAAUCUUGAUAGUUGAAGUUGCCACAUUUAUCUAACUGCAGAGGAUUCUUACCUGUGAUCUAGCUCUAUAGGUUCUUGCAGAUUAUCCUAAAACAGCACAGAAUAUAUAAAAAUUUGCUCGCGUGCUUUAACUCGGACAACUUUCCGAAGGUCGUCUCAUCAACCGAUUGCCCAGGUGAGUGAUCUUUUCAAAAUGAAUGAGAUGCUUGCGCGCACGAUAAACAUGCGAAGUAUACAGAAUCGCCGACAGCGUAACCGCUAGAAAAGAUAACAGCAUCAGCUUCCAGAAGUCCUGAUGCAAUAACCACAAUUUGAGAAGUUAGAUUCUGAAGCAAAAGAUGCCCAGACUUGAGAGGGGGAAAAAGAAAAAACAGAGUUCACAGACGGUGCAUCAUCCAUUUAAUUGAAGCAGCACUCAGAAUCAAUCACCUGUGGAUUCGAGAUGAAUAUUCCCAUAACAUAAGCCAUCAAAUCCAGAAAGGACUGGAGUGAGUUCUGAACGCCUCCAACGACGCAUCGGUCGGAUUCUGGCACCUCGUCCUGCCAAAAAGCCAACGAGAGAAAUGAGGAAAGACAACAGAAGUCUCCAGGCCAGGCAAUGAACAAGUGUUCCAACUGUGUAUGGUUAGGAAAGAAUAGAUCAGGAAUUAUGCUGGUGAGACUGUCCAUAAAAUCAGCCACUUAUACUGUCAUUUUGGAGACUCGAACUUCUGAAAUCAAAGUAAAUAACCUGCAUUUGUUGAAUAACAGCUAAAUCGAACAUCCACAGUCCCAGUCGAGAUGCCGCCACUCCUCCCAUCAGCAUGUAGGCAGCUGCUAAGCCAUUUUGAACCCAUAUCGAGCCGACACAUACAAGCAGGAAGAUCCACUGCAAUAGAUUUUAAGAAUAUAUCCAUGUCAUGCUUUAAAAAAUCUACUGACUAAAAAUCCCUAGAAAGUAAGAACUCGUCACCGUACUUGGGACCAACAAGACCAGAGCCCUGUUCUUAGUGUAGAAAUGCGGGAUUGUAAGACUGGAUAAACCACAGUGGCUGCAAUGCCUAUUGUCGCACUUAUGCCGCGUGCUAUUCCGAUGAGAAAUGCCGGUACACCUUCCCACUCCAAUGUAGCGGUCAUCAAACUUCCGAAGCUGUAGAAUUUGAAACCAAACAAUUAAAUUCUUCUACUUGAAAAAGCAAUCGAAUUAGAGCAAUAAAGACCUGAGAUAACUUUCACACUGCCUUGAUGAUUGAGAAGCAGUGAGAAAUGCCUUCUCAUAGAUAGCACGAGAAAAUGACAAUAACAUUGAGAUAGCCUCAAAUUUGAUGCGAGCACAAAUUUAUCAUACACAUUUUCCACAAAAGAUGAGUUUUCUAGACAAAAUAGUAUAACUGGGCCGAAGAAAAAUGAAUAUUUGUGGGCAGAUCGGUCUUUCUACGGGAAGGGAAAUUGCAAGUUCCAUGAUUAGUUCUAGAUAUAUAAUUGCAGAGUGAAUUUCUAGUACAUCACCUGAGGACUGUAAAAUACAACAAAGCCAGGGAUACUCCAGGAAUCACAACUUCUUGCUCUAGGUACAAUUUCCAAGCGCCAAUGAAGGGAAUCUUUGAAAUUUUCUCCCCGAAAUUCUGCUUUUGGCUGUUCUCUGCUGAUUCUGGAUCACCAUUUUGAAUUAGUGAGCUCUCUAACAGGUCAACCGGAGGUCUCCAGGUUCUUCUCAGGUUUCUCUCAACAAGAGCCGGAAUACCCUUAUAUACAGACAUGAAAAACCAGUACUCCAGCCAAACACAUGUUGUGUUCAAUAUGGCUAAAGUCAUAGCAGAUACUUUUAGUGAAAUAAAGCUGAUUAUGAAGCCGGAAACAACUGGAGCAAAUAAUUUGCAGAUCAGAUCGAUCCUUCUGAUGACCGAGUUCAUCUGGGUCAGAAGUCCUGGAGGUUGACCUUCUGACAUCACCACCACCCUGCAUUUAGAGGCAUAAUUAUGAGGCAAAAUAAAUUAAAACAAGAGUUUGUAGCAAAAAGAUACCAGAAAACUGUUCUCUACUCAAUUCACCAAAAGACUAGAGGCAUACUACGUGGAACAGACUCUAACUAUGGUUCUAAACCCUGCAUUACCAUUCUCUUUCAAUCAAAAUUGUUCCAGCCAAAGUAGAAAGCAUGCCCAUGGCUCCCGAAAGAUUGGUCACGACGAUGAGCACAAUGAACACUCCAGGAUUUGUUGAUUUCAGAUCUGGAUAGGCCAGCAUACCAAAGACCGUGGCUCCAGCCACCACGAAUGAGAAGUUUUGGGUCACGAGCCAGAGGCGUAGAACCUGCAACAAGUAUGUGAUAUUACAAAAACAAUUCGAACUCAUCCUAGUAUUCUGAGCAAUUAUUUUCUCUCUGAAAAAUGCUUGUUUAGUUCCAACUUCGGUUGCGGCAUUUGGACCUAAAGUGCCAUCCAAUAUCUUUUGUUCUGUUCCUGAAUUGAGAACUUUGAGAAUUGAAGUUUAUCGGACCUUGACAUAACCCAGCUUAUCUACCCACUCUCCAAUGGUAGGACCAAGCAAGAAUAUGGAGCCAGAUUCUACCACUCCGUAGACAGCGGCCAAUAGCAAAGAGUCUGGCCAAAUACUGAUCAUGUACAAACCUACCGAGAAUUCCCACAUCCUGCAAGACAAGAGGACAUUAUAUCACAUGGACAGGUGACACAUCCAGUUGCCUCCUUUCCGUUUCAUUCAAGUUAGAUCAAAAUGAACCGUGGCCUUACCAAGGUUUGAUUUUUCUAAAGAAUUGCACAUACCAAAAUUUCCAGAACUACUGAAUAGGUUGGGUCAAGAUUUUAUUUCACCAAGAACUGUGUAAAGGAUAUGUACGCAUGCCUAAACAAAAGAAGACAAGCUGUUUGAUUGCUAUACUCUUUUACUCUUUUACCUGAUCCUGCUAUAUGAUUUUUCUAAAGAAUUGCACAUACCAAAAUUUCCAGAACUACUGAAUAGGUUGGGUCAAGAUUUUAUUUCACCAAGAACUGUGUAAAGGAUAUGUACGCAUGCCUAAACAAAAGAAGACGAGCUGUUUGAUUGCUUACUCUUUUACCUGAUCCUGCUAUAUGCAUCUGGCAUACUGCUGAAAGGCACAAGCUUUUCCUUUUGCUAUUUAUUUUUUCCAUUUUCCUUAUUACCUGAUAAAUUGAAGCUAGUCAAUCCAUCCCGCACAGCAGCUACUGGAACAACUGCCUUUUUUUGCUAGAUAGAACUGGUAAACAUCGGUUUGCGACUCAUUUUCAAGUUUUGGCCAUGGAAGGGAAAGAAAUUACUUUUUGGCUGAGAUAAUUGAAUUAUGUUGUUGAAACUAUCUUCUCAAUUCAAAAACUAUGAUGUUGAAGUGAUAAUAGCAAAUCAGCCUUUCUAAGCAAUGAGAGGAAAAUGGAAGAAUGAAAAGUUAAAGCUUGCCAAAUUUAAAAACAUCUCAAGCUUGAAUUGUAUGAAGAGUACUAUGCUGAACUGUGCUCCAUGAAGAACAUGUUCUCUUUCACAUUAUUAGCAAGUGUUCUUUAUGAUGGGUGAAUCUGAACUAUUGCCAAAGUUGAAGCAAAAUGAAAAGUGUAACCUGGCACCCCAUCUGGCCAAGAAGUGGCCCAAGUACAAAUAUUUGGUGAGGAACGACGGAAAAGACGGCUGUUGAGCACCCGAUUUGCGAUCAAGGAGCGGCUCCCUCAUCAUGUUAUGUCGCUGCGCUGACUUCUUGAAUGAUACCAAGUCGUUCCUCCUCUUCUUCUUCUUCCAGUGAAUUGUGGAUGGGAUGAACGAUUGGGAUGCGGAUCUCUACUUCAUAUUGUGACCGCUCACUGCAUCCAAAAUGAUGAUAGGCUUUAAGUUGUACUAUACGGUUAUGACGAUUGCCCUGUUUUUUGGUGUGAAUGAUGAAAGUGAUGCAAAUGGUAUCAAGAAAGUUGGUCCCUUAUAUUGCACACUUGGUUUCACCAAAAAAAAAUAAAAAUUAAAAAAUUAAAAAAUUAAAAAAACAAGAUUAAAUCCUGAGAACUGAGAAGAAAACGGAUAAAGAAAUCAAAACUAUGGGGGUUAGGUGCACAUGGCUACUCAGAUAUUGUCUACAAGCUGUCAGCUGUCUGACUGCUGAUCUCUGUUUUUUUCCAUGCGAGCAAGAAACAAAGAAAACCUCAAAAACAAUGUUCAAAUCCUUGGAUUCAGUAGGAUCCGAAUAUGGUGGGACCUUUGUCCAGAGAGCAAGUAAACGGCUUCAAUAAGAAAAGAGGGCCUGAGAGCAAUGGUCAAACCUUUGGAUUACAAAAUGCCAAAUGCCUAAUGUUGGAAAAGGUAACACGGAGCGUUCCGCUGUAAGAUUAUUCACGUGGGUUUGUCUUUUCUGUCAAAGGGUUAGGAUCCAAGAACAGCGAAACAUAUGUUUGUGUCUCAUCCCUAACACCAGCUGCCCCGAGGAUCCAAGGUCAGAAUCAGAUCGGGACAGUGGAAGAUAGAAUAGUUCACUUCUUUUUUGAUUUUUUUCUUUCUCCAUUUUGCCUGUCAGAGAGCUAAAUUAUUUCCUUUCCUUCUCCAGAAGCACAUCUAAUUUGGACUUCUAUGAGCCUGCCAUGCCCAGAUAGAUAAGCCUGGUGACACCCCUUUGUUGCAAGGAAAGAAGCCCAGCUUGAGAGGGCAGAACUUCUGGGGAAUACUGGAGAAGAAGUUGCAAUAUCAAUUUGCUGAUUUUGGAUACUGAUGAAGCAAGAGUUGCUCAUUUCUAAGACUUGGGCAUUAGAUAAUGUUGAUCGAAAAAUAAAAGAAUAGAUAGAACGAGGAACAAUGGAUUUAUAUGGUUUAGUUAGAGUGACCUACAACAUGGAGAGAGUAGAGAGCAAUACAAGAUUCUGCUAUAGAUCAAAUGGUAUAAUAGAAAUUAAAACCACACUCGACUUGAGUUAUUCUUUCUUUCAAUGACUCAUGCUCAUCUCUUGAAUGCAAUCCAGGAAGAAGCCCAUUCUUACAAUUGAGAAAACACCUAUUAUUUAUUGAGGGACUAGGACACUAAACUAGAAAACAUGGGAAAUAUUAAACUAAGAAACGUUAAAUUAGGAAAUUUUAAACUAGGAAACUUGGAAUUAGAAAACAUUUAGGAAACCAACUUUAAUAGGAAACCUUUGACUCACAAAGGAAACCAAAUUGCAAACUAGGAAACGUAAAAUUAGAUAAUCUUUGAAAAAGGAAUGUGUUUAUUCUUCAACCCUCUUGAAAAUCCUUCUGGAAUACUUUUUCCUUGUUAGACCUUUGUGCUCCCACAUAAUCUAUAUGUAAGAAACUUGGGAUGCAAAAUAGAAAAUCUCAACCAAAAGUCAAUUUCUAUUAGGUUUUUUUAUGGAUUUAAAUUCGAGAAAUAUUUCCAACAGAUGAUUACCGAAAAUAAAAAGAAGAAGAAGAAGAAGAAGAAGAAAAGGAGCUAUCAGAUGAUGAAUUUAUGACAUUCAUCUCCUAGUUUCUCCUGCACAAAUUCAUCGGUAGCAAGAAACCAUUUGGACGAGACCCUGUUCAAUUACCGCGGAUCAUUUUCAUAUCCCAAAAAAUGUAGCACGAAGAACAUGGAGACGUCUGGAGAUGACACUACGUCCGGCAUAAUGAUCAUCUCGAUCGCGAAAAGAAAAGGAAAUGCUACAAAGUCAGAUAGUCAUUCAUCAGAACCUGUAAUAAACAGUCACAUCCAUAUCAUUGUAGCUCGAUCAUGAUGCAGCCGAUCGACCUUCCUCAGGAUUCAACUGCCUUAUCGUCUCAAUCAAUUGGAGCUGAUUGGCGCGCGGAUUGUUGUCGUGGAGGAAUCUCUUCCUCGGGGCCGAACUUCGCGGGUCUAACAUUCAAGAUGAGCGGUAACUAGCAUCUGAUAAAGCCGCCAUCAUAAAAAAAGACUGCAGAUGGAUAUCAAAUAGGAGCAAGUAAAACAUACGUAACAUGAUAAAGACAUCCAGGAACAGUCUGCACAUGAUGGUCAUCUGAGUGUUCCGGCAUCCUCUGCAUUAAUGUAUGCGCGAUGACCUUUCCAGGAUAUCGUUUCUUACCAUGCUGUCAUUAUUUUAAUGCACGAACCUCUCGUUUGCGGAGUUUUGGGCCCUGGAUGCCCGGUUUACCUUUCUUUGGCUCUGCUCUUCAAACGCUUUUGAAACUUCUUCUGCGUGUGCUUGGACGACAAUGACCUGACUUUAGAACCAGGAAAGAAAUACGAGGUUGGCAAGUGCUUUUUGCCCAUUCACAAAAUAAUGCCAAAGCUAGCAGAUCUUGCGGUUCAAAUCUCAAGACAAAAUAAUAAUAAUAAUAAUAAUAAUAAUAAUAAUAAUAAUAAUAAUAAUAAUAAUAAUAAAUAAAUAAAUAAAUAAAUAAAUAAAUAAAUAAAUAAAAAAUUUAAAAAAAUUAUCAUAAGAGUCAACGUGAAAUGAUCAAGAGCACCAAAAAUUUAAUUGAUUCGGUCCGAGUGUUGCUACUUGCAACCCAUUGGGAGAGCCAGUUAUAAAAAAAACUCACUAUCAAUCCAAGAGUUACAAAGUUCAGAAUGAUCAUCCAAAAAAUCAUAAAUUUAUUGUACGGCAAUCAAUUCAAUUCUAAACAUUUAAUUUGAUUAGUUUAACCCUAAAUUUUUAGACAAUUUGACAAUUUAGUCAUUCCGAUUAAUUUUGGUUUGAGAAAAUUGACGCAAAUGGUUUUGCAAUUUUUUUCUCUUCUUUUUCCUAUUUCCCUCGGUCAAUUGCUAAGUAUCACCGAUGGCCAACGGUGGUUGUCGGCCACAAGCUAGGGCCAACAAGGAUUGGGACACCCUCGUUGGCAUUAGUCCUCACCAGAUUUGGGUAAGGGGUGGUUGGUGAGGGUGGUCCUCGCCAGAUCCAAUGAAGGUAACCCUUGCCUAUGGCCGGCAACCAAUGGAAGGAAUAAAAAAAAUUGAACAAAAAGAAAAUAAAAUUUUCAAAACAUAAAAAGAUUGUAAAAAUCCUCUAUAUUAGCACUUGCCAUGUCAUGUAGGACUACUGGUACUGAUUGGAUCGUUACGUUAGUAAUUUCAAGCCAAAAUUAAUUUGAAGGACUAAAUUGAUAAAUCAUCAAAAAGUUUAGGAGUAUAUUAAUUAAAUUUAAAAAUUUAGGAUUUAAUUAGCCGCAUUCUAGUAAGUUUAUAACUUUUUGGACAACUUUUCUUAUAGAGUCACAAUCAAUCACUCAAGCUCUCGCGUGUCUCCAAUAUUCCAAUGUACGAAUCCUCACAAGCCUAGUAAUUAUCACACCAAGUUUCGCAAGAAGCUAAAAAAAAACACCUCCGCCGUGUUCGUGUUCUCAAAAAGAAAAAAGGUCAAAAUCAGACUUUUAAACCCGAGAUCACGUCCAUACUGGAUGAUCAUUAGCGAAAUUAGUAGGCUAGGUGCCGCUCAGGGCGGGCAACUCGGCCGCAAGCUGGCCGAUCACCUGGCCCAUGCCUAGUAAAUUUCAGCUACUAGGCUUAACCCGACCGCCAUCCCCGGCCUUUCGGUCUAUGUGCUGAGUCCCUUCUUUUAUCGCGCCACGAACGCCUUCUAACUUGUCAUGGACCUAACUCAAUCUUCAGGCUCCAAUGUAAACUCGGACUCAGCAAGAAUUUGAGCCACAAACUCAACAGGCCGGAUGGCUAGGUUCAGAUCAUGUCCGGUUAAUUCAGUUCAAUGAACAGUGAAAGCAGUUUCCUUCCUGUUCCAACCAACCCUGUCCCGCUCAUUUUUGUCCUGAUGAUCUUCAUGGACGAUACUAGGCAAGCGUUUUGCGGCUAGAUUGCAUGGCUUGUCCUUUCCAGGAGCUUCAGUCCAAGCCCCCCCUCAAUGAUCAGAUCCAUCCAGUGGUCCAAGCACUCAUGCGAAACCACUACUUGCUAACAAAAUCAAAGAAAAUUUUCUCCAUCGACAAUAUGGGCGAAUGCAGAAGAUUUCAAUUGGAAAUGGAGUAAAUCUGCAAUGGAUUUUGCCAAAGCUCAGCACAUCAUGCAUUAGGAAUUCAAGUCGAAUGACUUCAUCAAAAGUUAACUCAGGUGUCAGGAAAUUGAAGUUCAGCAGAACUCAAAAGUGUGGUAACAGGAAGUGUAAUUUUUUUCCGGAUUGCAUCUUAAGCAUGUGAAAAAAUACUCUGCAUGGCGUAUAAGAAAGCAUGUAAAACAAACAGAUGAAUUUUGCAAAUGUGAAAGCACCAGCCCAUAUUCCUAUAAACAUACCGAAGUCCUUGAUUGUAUUUCUCAAUCCGACAUCAAAAUCCUAUUAGGACAGUCUGCACUGUCAUCGUAUUCUAUUUUACACAGAAUUGCCAGGUGUCAUAGCAUAAGUGGCUCAUCGUGGAAUACGAUAUCGGUCGACAAAUAUAACAAGAUUCUUAAAAUGUCCUAGAAUAGCACUAAAUGAAGUUCACACGUUCUGACUCUGGUGGGUGUCUGGAGACCGUACGAUUGACCAACUUCUCAGCAAAAUGAGCUUCUCAAAAUGGAUCGGGUGCUUGCGGACAUGGUACACAUGGAAAGUAUAUAAAGAUGCCGAUAGGGUAGUAAACAGAAAUGAUAACAAAAUCAACUUCCAGAAAUCCUGAUGCAGUAGCCACAAAUCUAUAUUCAGUUAGAUUGUAAAUCAAAAGUUUGACCAACUUUAGAUAAUUAGCACACAUGAUACAAGUAACAUAUUAUCCAUACUGCCAUAGGAAGUAGAAGCAAUGGUGAUCACCUGUGGAUUUGAGAUGAUUAUUCCCAUACCAUAAGCCAUCACAUGCAAGGUGGACUGAAGUGAACUUUGGGCACCUCCAGCAACGCAACGAUCAGAUUCUGAAACCUUAUCCUGCCAAAAACGAGAAGAGGGCCAGAACAGAAAGUGAUAUUUCAGGUAUGAGAAUUUGUGAACCACUGCAAGAAACUAUUUUUGUGUAGAACGGCAUCAAAGUAUCCCACCAAAAGUUAAAGCUAGUAAAUGUGAAUGAAACCAUUUGAAGAACGCACAGGGAGCUGAAGAAUGAGGAAGAAGAUGAACAAGGAAUAAACUCAUAAGACGAUAUACUAAAUGGCGAGUGAAGAUAACAAAUUAUGGGUUUGAUACCAGUUAAAAGGAUCCAAGCCAAAAGCUUAAACAAGUAGGUGAAAGAGAUCAAGCUAAACCUCAACCACAGAUACGUCAAGAAUGCUUGUGAGAUGUCUAGGCAAUGAACGACUGGUGCUAUUCUUUUGAGUUAUAAUUGAAACGGAAGUAGAUAACCUGCAUCUGUUGAAUGACGGCUAAAUCAAACAUCCACAAUCCCAGUCGAGAUGCCGCCACUCCACCCAUCAGCAUAUAGGCAGCUAUUAUGCUGUUUUGGACCCAUAUUGACCCAACACAUAGAAGCAGUAAAGUCCACUGCAAUAGUUUCACAUAAUGCAGAGUUCAGUUGUUUUUCACUGAUCAGUACACCCAAAAAAGUCCCAUACAAGUUGGUACUCGAAAAAUAUACCUGGGACCAGAUGGACCAGAGCCCAGUUCAGAGCGUGGAAAUAUCAAGAACCUCGAUUGAUCACCCCGUUUUUUACCCUUUUAGAGGAAAGCUAAACGUCAAUAGUAGUAGAUUAUAGGUAAGUCCUGUAAACUAAUGCGAAAGAAAUGAACUUUGAGGGUCCGUCAGUUUCCAGUGUGUUACCUGAGAACUGUAAAAUACAACAAAGCUAGCACAAUUCCAGGAAGCACAACUUCUUGCUCAAAGUACACUCUCCAAGCACUUACUAGGGGCAGAUUUGCAAUUUUCUCACCAAGACUUCUCUUUCGGCUUUUUUCUGCAUUUGCUGGAUGAUCAUCAUCUGGAACAGACAAGCUCUCUGUCAGUUCAGCAGGAAAAGGUUUCUGGGUUCUUUGUCGGUUUCGCUCAGCUAGAGCAGGAAUCCCCUGAUAUACUGACAUGAAAAGCCAGUACUCCGGCCAAACACUGAUGGUGCUCAAAACUGCCAAAGUCUGAUACAACAGCGGCAAACAACUUGCAGAUCAGAUCAAUCAGUCUUAUAACUGAAUUCAUCCGAGUAAGGAGUAUAGGGGCUUGGCCUUCCGACAUCACCACCACCCUGCAUUUAGAGGCACAUUAAAAGCAAAUUUGAAAAGGAAAAAAAAAGAAGAGAGAGAGAACAGUAUGCCUAUGGGAUGCUGGUAUUCAAGCUCAAUACUAUUACCAUUCUCUUUCAAUCAAGAUUGUUCCAGCAAGAGUGGAAAGCACGCCAACAGCUCCAGAAACAUUGGUCAAAAGGAUGAGCAAGACAAAAGCUUGAACACUUGUGGACUUCAAAUCUGGGUAGGCUAGCAAACCCAGAACCGUUCCUCCAGCAAAUAUGAAUGAAAAAUUCUGUGUCACGAGCCAAAGCUGGAGAACCUGCAACAAAUAUUUGACCCUCCUUGAAUGUAAAAUCGCACAGUUAUCAUAUUAAAAUAAACUGGUAUACUGUAAAAUGCGGAGCUAAAGUCCUGUUCAAUGUUUUCUUAGGUGCUGUAGUACAUGAAGAAUUGUAAGUCCAUCAGACCUUGACAUAACUCAGUCUAUCCACCCACUACCCAAUUAUCGGGCUGAACAAAGGCAGUGGAGGCAUUUUCCACCACUCCAUAGACAGCGGCCAACAGUAAAGAGUCUGGCCAAAUGUUGAUCAGGUAUAAGGCCACAGAGAAAUCCCACAUCCUGCAAGACAAGCAGGCAUGAAAGAUACUUCAUUUCCAAAUGGAGAGGGUAUCAAGAGAGAAGAUAAUCUGAGAAUAAAGCCGUUAGUUUAUUGAGAAUUGCCACACUUAUAUGGUCAAUUCAAGUAAAAGACUGACAUGAAAUUUAAUUGGCCAUGGGACCAAUUUUCCUAAUGAACGGCAUAAGACAGUUUUCACAGUUCGUUGAUGAACUGGGGCACAUUGAUGUUUCCACUAGCAAUCGUGUACCAUUUAUGAAUCAAUGUAUAGCAGAAAACAAGAGAUGUUAUCCUGUAACGUGAGUACUACUGAAAGGAAGCUAGGAUGUUCUCUUCAUCAUUCUUCCUAUCACUCUUUACCAGGUAAGUUCAGGAUUUGUACCAAGAAUUGGUAAUUUUUCGUUGGAACAAGAAUUUACAUCCCAUCAACACUUACUACAACUAGGACAACAAACUUGUGUAUUUUCCCACUAAACAGGGAGUAACCUCUCGUUUGGCGACUAGAAAGCAUUUCUUUGGUUGAAGUGAUUAGGCUACAUAGUCUAAACAGCAAAACCUUCAAUCGAAUCCAAAAACUUUGAUGUUCCAGUGACAUUAUAUCAGGCACGGAGGAGAAGGAUGGAUAUGUGAAGACACCAAUUGGGACAAUUUGAAAUGAUGGAAAGGUUUUGUUAUAUUCAAAAUAGGAAUGAUACAGAGAGUACGCAAACACGCUCGUAUAAAAGACUGAGAAGAGCACAUCAUCAUGUCCUGAGGAGAGCAUACUCAGAACAGCAACAGAACUUUUAGGAGAGUUGAACCAAAGUAAAUAGCACAGAACCUGGCACCCCAUCUGGCCAGGAAGUGGCCCGAGUACAAAUAUUUGGUGAGGUGCAAUGGGGAAGAGGGCUGUGGAGAAGACGUUUCAUGGUCGAGGAGCGGCUCCCUCAUCAUCUCUAUGGUAGGCAGUACUGAUCGAAUAAAAUAGCUGAAGCGUUGAUCUUGACGUUUACAGGCGCAUGAAUAUGAUGAUAACUAGACCCAUCAAAUGAUUGGGUAGGGUCGAGUUUGGGUCGGGUUGAAAAUGGGUCGACCCAUAUUUAACCCAUUUAACCCAUUUUGACUCAUAUUGAUGUAAUGUAAAUCAAGUGACCCAUACUCGACUCGAUCUGUAUUGCUAAAACCUAUUAAUAUUUUAAGAAAACACACUUCUAUUAUAUGCUAAUUAGAUUAAAACUUCAAAUUAAAUUAAAAAUAGUACAUAAAAUAAUUUUUUAAAAAACCUAUAAAUUGAAAUAUUUAUAAAAAAAAAUUAGACUAUGCACAUGCUUUUCUUAUUUGAAGUGAACAUAUCAUUGAAUAACUAAAAACUGUAACACGAAAUUUUUUUAACUAAGCCUAAAAAAGCUCAUUUUUAUGAUUUUUUUUUAUAAUUCUUUCUAAAAUAAUUUUUAAAAAUCGAUUUUUUAUUUUUUAAAUAUAAAAUUUUAAUUAUUUUUUAAAAUAUAAUUUUUAAUUUUUAAUAAUUAUUUUUUCUUUUUCUCUUUUCUUUUUUCUUCUUCUUCGCCCGGUCGUCGUCCGGCGAGGCUUGCUAGUCGUCGGCAACCUACCAGCGAGCUCGAGCCUCGCUUGGCCUGUUGCUGGCCAGUGGCUAAGGAAUGAAGAAAAAGAAAGAAAAAAGAAAAAGAAAAAAGAAAAGAAAAAAUUGAAAUAUGAAAAAUAAUUAUAAUUUCAAUUUUUUUUUUUUAUAAAAAAACAUUUUUAUAAAUUUAAAAAAUGACAUGGGUUUAAAGUGGGUUUCCUAAUAAUCCAUUUAUACCCAUUUCUUUUUGUGUUUUACUUUCUUAAACCCAUUUCUGACCCAUAUUUAACUUUCACGUGACUCAUAUAUGAUCCAUUUAACCAAAAAAAAAAAAAAAAAACUUAAAAUGGGUCAUAAUAUGGGUUUAUGACCCAUUUUGCCAACUCUAAUGAUAACUGGUGUAGGUUGUCUCUCCAAGCCUUAACAACUAGUGGAGGUGUCAACUGAUUUUGUCCUUUCCUGGUAGGGAAGACAGAACCCUAGAAAAGUCAAUUAGAGAGUUGGUUUUUUGAAAGGGUCAUUUAGGUUACAUCCAUGGAUGUGUAAUUGUAUAAACUAAGAUUAUGUCUGGUCAUUUGAAUUUCAUUUGUAGAUAGGAUAUGAUUGAAUAAGAUAAGAUGUAAAAUUUAAAAAUUUUACUAUAUCAUCUCUACUAUUUAGUGAAUCGUAAUAAUAAAACUGGAUAUUUGCAUAUCCUAUCAUGUCCAUUGUUUAAUAAAUCGCAGUAAUAAAAUCGAAUAUUUGUAUAUCCCACCAUGUCCAUUAUUUGGUAAGACUGACAUAUUUAUAUAAAUGAAUCUAAAAAUUACAUAAACGGAGACAGUAAGAAUUCAUUACUAUUCUCUUGCAUUUUCCAUUUAUAUUUGCUGCCUCUUUUCUUCUUUAAUUUUUUCCGCCCCUUCCAUUAUUCUCAAAUAAAAUUUAAUUAAAUAAUAUAACUAUAAUAAUAUACCUAAAAUGAGUAAUAAAUAUAAAUACUAAAUAUAUAUUGCAUUUGUAUUAAAAAAUAGAAAGACAUUCAAAUACAUAAAUAAGAUAGGAAUAAAUAAAAACGAAAUUGUUGUUAUUUUAUUAUUAUUUUGAAUUUUUUAUAGUAAAAUAUUAUUUUAAUUAUUAAUUUAAGAAAUUUGUUAUUCGAUAAAGAUAACUUUUGUAUUAUGGAUAUUUGAAAUCCUAUUCAUUUUUAUCUCACUUUUCAUAUAAUAUAUUUUUUCUCCGAACUAUAUAAUUAUUAUAUUGAACUUUAUCCUAUUUUGGGUAGAAACCAAACAUAAGAUAGGAUAAAUGUUAUAUUGGCUAAGGCUGCGCAUGACAACGCUUCUAUUCCCGGGAAUAGUUUUUUUUUUUUUUUUUUUCAGAAAUAGUUCUUUUCUAUUUCUGUUCCGGGGAACAAUUUCUAAGUAAAAGAACCCGUUUGGUAAGGACACAAAAUUUCUACUCUUGGAAUAGAAAAAGAAUAGAAAUGCGUUUGGUAACGAAACAAUUUCUUUUUUGUAUUUAUUCAUUUUUUAUUUUUGCUGACGGAUCGCCGCCACUGCCGCCGCCACCGCCAGGCAGCGACGGCGACCGGCGGCACCAGCGACCGUGGCGGCGGCGGCGGCGGCAGGCAGCGGUGGCGGUGGGCAGUGGCUCCGGGCAGUUAAUGAUGGCCGCGGCAAGAAAAGAAAAUUAAAAAAGAAAAUCAGCUUACUUCUAGAAAUUGUUCUCGGGAACAAGAAGCAACUUUUUUUUGCUUCUCAAAACUGUUCCUGGGAACAAUACGAGAACAAAAAUUAGAGAAAUUGUUCCUGGGAACAAAUGUUUUACCAAAUAGGUUUCUGUUCUUUUUUUGUUCUGGGGAACAAAAGAACAAAAAUUGGGAGAAACAGGAGCAUUACCAUGCGCUACCUAAAUGUAACCAGACCACCCCCUUAGGCAAAAAUGUGAACCAGAUGACCCCCACGGCUCCCCCGAAUCUCCUGCAGUGAGCUGUCGGUAGGCUAUUGGCCAGCACCCUUGUGUCCCGGUGCGCUCGCCCGUACCCGAUCCAACGCGCGCACGAAUAGCGAAAUCGAGCUGUCAAAAAGCAGGAUGCUUUCCUUAUUUCCGCAGCCGAAGAGACAGCUCUCGAACUUCUUCCUUCUUCUUCCUCCUUCUGCAGAAGCGUGUUGCGCAUACCUUAACGCAUUCAAGGAUUCGGAUUCCCGCAAGAUGUCAGGCACAGAAGACGGCCAAAGCACACCUCGCCGUAGCCAAUGGUGCCGCCGUCCGCCCCGGCGGCGGCGGCCACGGACUUCGAGAGCCCGGUCCCUUCGCCUCCGGUUGCGGGGGCGGGGUUGCGGAUGGGGGUGCCAAUGAUCGUGAGGCGAUGGAGGAGGGACGAUCUGAUCCAGAAGGGUUCCCUAGUGCUCCGGGGGCUAGCCUUGCUGUUCUCGCUGCUCAACUUCAUCAUCAUGACGAGCGACAAGCACGGCGACUGGAAGGACUUCGACAGAUACAAGGAAUUCAGGUCUGACUUUGACGUCUCUCUCUGUGUCUCUCUUUCUGUCACUCUCGCUCUCUCUCUCUUUUGAUCGAUUUGCGGAUGUGGGUUGUUGGUGUUUUGUUGAAAGUUUUGGUUUUUAGAAGUGCACAUCAAUUCUUGAACUUGGCGAUAAUUGUUUUCGGGUGUAGGAUAAUAGCUUGUAGAAAUUUUAGCAGUUUGAAUGAUGGAUUGAAAGGCAUUCAGGACUGCACCGAAAGAAAUCAAAGAGGAUAAAGGAAGAGAAAAAUAUUGAGACCGAAGACGUAGAACUUUGGGAAUUUUGUGUAUAUUGUCUUCUAUGAAUAAUUUGAUGUACAGCUUCUAGUAGUUAUAAUACAAGAUGUAUGUAAUGAAUCGAAGUUAGAGAUUCUAUGAAUCAAUCUAAUCUAGAUCUAAUCUUUAAUUGAUUUGUACAGAAUUGUAAUCGGAUCAAAUCCUCUAUCAAAUAUCACGAGCUACGUCGCAUAUCUUCCAACAUUCGCUCUCAAACUGGUGGCUUGUAGAUAUCUAAGACGCCUAGCUUGUUUAAUAGAUAUGCGUGCUGUCUUUAACACAGAUUUGGUGAAAAUGUCCGCAGGCUGCUCUGUUGUUCCAAUUCCUCUUGUUUCAAUUACUCCUUAUAAAAUUUCGUCUCGUGUAAAAUGACAAUUCACUUCUAUAUACUCGGUUCUCUCAUGUAUUAUAAGAUUUGUUGCAAGUUUCAGAGCCGCAUCAUUAUCGCAGAAUAGCUUUGUUGUCCCUUGUACUUGUACUCCGAGAUCUUUAAGAAGACCUCGUAUCCACAUUAUUUGACAAGUAGUUUUGGCCAUAACUUGAUAUUCUGCUUCAGCUGAAGAUGAAGACACAAUUGGUUGCUUCUUGGUCUUCCAUGAGAGUAAUGAUUCUCCCAAUUUAAUGCAAUAUCCAAUAACGGAUCUUCAACUCAUGGGAUAAGUUGCAUAAUCUGCAUCACAAUAUGCUGUCAUUUCCGUGUUGCAUUUUCUGGAUAGGAGAAUCCCAAGUCCUGGACACUUCUUUAGAUAUUUGACGACCUUCAAGGCAGCAUUCAUAUGUGAUUGCUUCGAACUGUGCAUGAACUGGCUAAGUGUUUGUAUCGCAUAAGAAAUGUUGGGUUUGGUCAUCGUCAGAUAUAUAAGUUUUCCGACGAACCUUUGAUAGCUUGAAGGAUCUUCCAGUGUGGAAUCAUCAUCUUGAAGCAUUCCCUUGUCAUAAUCUACGGUAGUCAACUUAGUGUUAUGUUCAAUGGGAAUAAUGGCUGGCUUGUAUCCUGAUAGACCUGCUUCUGAUAUAAUCUCCAAUAUAAAUUUUCGCUAACUGAGGGAAAUCAUUUGGUCAAAUCGAGCAAUUUCAAUACCAAGGAAAUACUUAGGUGCUCCUAAGCCCUUAAUAUGGAAGGUGACAUGCAAAUAUUCCUUAAAGCUUUCUAUGGCAGCUUUAUCAUUUCCCAUAAUAAGGAUGUCAUCGACAUAUAUCAUCAAAUAAAUAGAUGACAUACCUUUAAUCCGCGUAAAUAAAGCAUAAUCAUGUUUAGACUGUUUAAAGCCUGAUGUUGAAGAGCAUUGGCAAAUUUUGCGUACCACUGCCUAGAAGCUUGUUUCAACCCAUAAAGAGAUUUACGGAGGCGACACACUUUAUUCUCCCCUUAUCUCUGUAAGCCCUGAGAAAUAUCCAUAUAGAUUUCUUUGUCCAAGUCACCAUGAAGAAAGGCAGUGUGCACAUCUAUUUGAUGUAAAGGCUAGUCGUGAAUAGCAGCAACUGUCAAGAAUGAUCGGACUGUGACAUCUUUAGCUAUAGGAGAUAAUGUCUUGUGAUAGUCAAAUCCUUCUCGUUGAGUGAAUCCUUUGGCCACCAAUCGUGCCUUAUAUCUUUCAAUGGAGCCAUUAGCACAAUGUUUAAUUUUGUAAACUCAUUUGCAGCCAAUUAGUUUACAAUUUGGUGGCAGCGAAACUAGAUCCCAGGUCUUAUUAUCAAUCAAUGCUUCCAUGGCCUUUUGCCAUCAUGGAUCAGCAGAUGCCUCAUCAUAGCUAGAUGGUUCCCUAUCUUCUGACAAGCGACUAACAUAACAUCUAUGUUUCGGUGAUAGUUUAUGAGAUUGGAAACAUAGGAUGAGAUUGGAUAUUUGAUACCUGGUGAAUUGAGAGUGGCACACAUAUAAUCCUUUGUCCAGGUUGGAGGUCGUGUAGCCCGACCAUAACGUUUUGGAGGAUCAUCUUUUGGAGGGGAAGAUGUCUCUCUGGAUGACAUUGGUAAAAUAUCCUGGAUUUCUUCAUCAGCAGAAGAAUCUUCCAUUGAAUUCCCUAGAAUAUUCUCUGAAUUCGGAUUCUCAUCCGAAAUAGGUGCUGCUGCCGGAAUACUCAUGGGCAUAGAAGGAGCAUUGGCCGGUGUUGCUAAUGGUAUAUAAUCAGGAUCUUGAUAUGUUGCUUCAUCAGAUAAAGAAGUACGAGGAAUAGUGAUUAUACCUGAAUCUUCAUGUGGUGAUAUCUGUUCACUAAAUGGAAAAACAUUUUCAUGAAAGAUAACAUCUCUACUUACCAAGAAUUCCUUUGUAGAUAGCUCAAGAACACGAUACCCCUUCUGUAGAUUGGGAUAUCCCAUGAAUAUGCAACGUCGAGCACGAGGACUCAUCUUGUCCCAGGGGCCCACUAUGAUGACAUAACAUAAACAUCCAAAAACUUUGAGAUGUUUCAGCUCCGGCUUCUUCCCAAAUAGUAGUUCAAAAUGUGUUCGCCCAUUGAGUAUCCGAGUAGGCAUGCGGUUGAUUAAAUAAGCUGCUGUAAUAACACAAUCUCCCCAAUAUUCCUCUAGGACUGAUGCUUGGAAUUUCAGGGCUCGAGCGACUUCUAAAAGGUGAUGAUGUUUACGCUUAACUAUUCCAUUCUGUUGUGGUGUAUAGACGCAAGAGCUUUCAUGUUGGAUCCCAUGAGAUGAAAAUAAUGAAGAGCAAUCAUGGUUGAAGAAUUCCCUUCCGUUAUUAGUACGGAUCCGAUGAAUGGAUUUUCCAAAUUGAUUUUUGGAAAGUGCAAUGAAUGUUUUUAAAUGAGAAUAAACUUGGCUUUUGGACUGCAUAAAAAAAAAUCCAUGUUGCACGAGAAUAAUCAUCUACUAUUAUAAGGAAGUAACGAGACCCAUCGUGAUUUAUCGUAUGGUAAGUCCCCCAAACAUCCACAUGAAUUAACGAGAAAAUUUCACUAGCACAAGUGCUCCUAGAGGGAAAAGGGGUACACGACUAUUUCAUAAGAGGACAUAUGGAACAUUGAGGACAAGGAAAGGAGGCACUGUGACCCAUUCUCAAGUGCAUAAUGAAAUUCUUAUCAUUAGUAGUCAAAUUACACAAUGAUGGUUUAUUGAAAGAUGUGCAAGAUAAAUCAAAAUUACUAGGAAAAUUUGUCCAGAAAAAUAGUCCUUCAGAAAGACUACUCAAGCCCAUUAGUCUGCUAAUUGAAAGGGGCUGAAAGAAACAUGUGCCAACAUCAAAGAAUACCCGACAUGAAUUUUCUUUGCACACUUUUGACAUGGAAAUGAUAUUAAAUUGGAACUCUGGGACAUAAAGGACGUUUUGAAGGGUAAUUUGAGGGCUGAGAUUGAUUGUUCCUGUCACAUUCACAUGAGUAAUAUUUCCAUUGGGUAAUUUUACGGAAAUGAGAAAAUUCAACACUUCGUUUAUACUUGAGAAAUAUCCUUUGUCACAUAUAAUGUGAUCACUUGCUUCUGAAUCAAUAAUCCAUGCCCUCAUUGAAAUGGAAUUAAUCAAGCAAUGUAUGAUACCUGAAAAACUCCCUCCUUUGUUGGAAGUAUCCAACUUUUGCAAUGCAUGUAUCAGCUGUUGAUAUUGACCAUAUGAGAUAGGUUGGUCAACAUUCUGGCCUGUAGGUCCAGUGACUUGGUAAGCAACUAGAAUUUUUUUCUCUUUUUUUCCAAGCUUUCUAUGUAAUUUCCAAUAGUUGUCAAUCAUAUGGUUAGAACGUUUGCAAUAAUCGCAAAACAUUUUACCCUUUCCUUUAAAUUUGAUCUAGAAUUCUUUGAUGACGUGGCAAAGAUCUAACCAUCCAUUCCUUUUGUCGAGAACUCAUAUCCACUGUACGAUCCAUCUGCGAUCUCGGACUCGUGCAGGACAUCCGAUCCUCGUGCCCAAUCUAGACCAUCAGAUCCUCACGCCCAAUCUAGGCCGUUCAUUCCAUCCCUUUUAAGGGAUCGCAUUUCUGCUCCCCCGAACGCUAGCGUGCCCCUCUUUUCUUUCUCUUGGAUUAGGGUUCUGGAGGAACCAUCGUGCCAUUUGCCAUAGGCUGCGAAGGUGAUACUGUCACUGCUCCUCGCGUGUUCCGACGAUGUGAUCCGUUGGCUCUCCUCCUGUACAGCCACCUGGAAAAUUCUUUCGGUUGGAGAUACUUGAUCCAUGGUCAGAAUCUGUGAACGAAAGGUAAUGUAAGAUUCAUUCAAAAUCAGUAGGAAGCGUGUAGUCUUCUCCCUUUCUUUGAUGAUCUGUACUGUUUGAGUGUUGAUUCUGGUCCCUCGAGCUUUUCUUCAACUGCUUCUAGAUCGUUCCAUAAUGACGAUAGCUUGUUGAAGUAAGUUGUGACCAUCAUGUUUCCCUGUUUGAGCCCGCUGAGUUCAUACAUGAGGGAGAAAAUUUUUGCUCGAUCUAGUUUACCAUACAUCUCCUUAAUAUUUUCCCACAUGUUUCGAGCAUCCUCUGUUGGUGGAAGUCUGGCCGCAACAUCUGGAGAUAUGCAAUUUCUGAUCCAGGUUUGGACAAGUUGGUUGCACUUCCUCCGAUGUCAGGCUAGGCGCUCAUCCAAGGGAACGGCGAUGGUUCCAUUGAGGAACCCAUCUUUAUCCUUCGUUACCAGUGCGCGCCAGAGCUCCUGUGACCACCAAGAGUAAUUUUCUAGCCCGGUCAACUGUUGGUUGAUUAGUUGCAGUUCUGGUCCGUUGGCGGUGGAGACGAACAGGGGGUCACCGGGUUCUUGUCGUCCGGUGAGAGUUGCCGCUGGGUAUGGCAGAAAUCCGGGUGAAAAUCCCGGGUAGGGAUUUGUUCUCAUACCGGGAUUAUUCGACCCGGUUCCAUAACCCGCAUUGAAAACGGUCAGAUAUGGAUUUGUUCCAAUACCUAAUCCUUUCAAUCCACUUGCCUGCCUCGCAGUUGCUGCAUCCGACCCAAUGGUCGUGCUUACCCCCUUUACGGUUGGUGGGCUACCGUCGGGUUGGAAGGAGGCCCAUUGGCUCUAAAUCCCUUGCGAUGAUGCAUUCGAGCUUAGCCCAAACAAUCAUGGGUUGGGCUGCAUCUGAAAUGGCAGCCAUUGGUAAGGAUGGCCGAUCAUCGGUUGGCCCGAAAUGGGUUGAACCAAGAAGGGUUGCCUUAGAUUUGUCUAAGCUAGAAGAGAUUGACCAUAUAGGCUAGAAGAGAUUGACCAUAUAGGGCCCAAGCAAGUUGUUCUUGAGAUCUAGCGACAUCAAUAGUGGAAGUGGCGUCCUGGCUUUCUACAGGUUGCACUGGAUUUCCUUCUUGCGGAUUUUCACCAGAGGCUGAAGGUAAGUUUUUCGUCAUGGUAAAAAAUUCCUUGCUGAGAUGUCGAGUCUUGUAUGCAGGAUUGAAGAAUCUCAGCAGGGACAAGAUUAAAAGGAGCAGAAGCAAGAUCAUAAGCUUUUUACUGCUCUAAUACCAUGAAAGAAAUCAAAGAGGAUAAAGGAAGCGAAAAAUAUCGAGACCGAAGACGUAGAACUUUGGGAAUUUUGUGUAUAUUGUCUUCUAUGAAUAAUUUGAUGUACAGCUUCUAGUAGUUAUAAUACAAGAUGUAUGUAAUGAAUGGAAGUUAGAGAUUCUAUGAAUCAAUCUAAUGUAGAUCUAAUCUUUAAUUGAUUUGUACAGAAUUGUAAUCAGAUCAAAUCCUCUAUCAAAUAUCACAAGCUACGUCACAUAUCUUCCAACAUGCACUGUGGCACAAAAGUUUUUGGAUUUGCAGUACACUUUUUUUUGCUGGAUUCUAGGAAAGUUUUUUUGGGAUUGAACUGGAGAUUUUCGCCCAGGUAUCUGUUGGCGAUAUUGAUCCUGGCGACCCUGUACACCGAAGUGCAGGCGUUGCGGCAUGUCCACCAGAUUUCCAUUGGGCAGGAUCUCGUCAAGCGCCAGAUGUCGGCACUGAUCGACUUCGCCAGCGACCAGUGUUGGCUGGGUCCACCUUCAUGUGGGGCCCAGCCAGCACUAACAAUAAAAUUAAAAAAAAAAAGGAAAAAGAAAAGAAAAGAACAAAAAGAAGUGGAAGUUGUCGUACGUGGGGUGUCAUUCGAAAAGUGAAGAGAGGAGAGAGAAAAGGAAAACAAAAAUUGCACAAGGAAGGAAGAAGAAGGAAGAGGGCUGCAACUUUGCGGCUUUGAUUCAAAGGCCAAAUAUUGACGGAAUCGGCUCAAAUUUCAGUAUGUUGUUCGUGAGAUCGAGGGCUACAAGUUGAUGGUUUUUGUUCGUCGAGAACCGUCUCCGAAUCCUCCAAUUGCGGCUAAGGUUUUCUUGCUCCAAACUUAUUUGUCUACCUAUGUGGUGGGAAAAAAUGAUUGUAAUGUUGAUGUUGAGCCUCUAGUGUGUGACUAGAGAAGAAUACUUUGUGUAUCCUGCUAUUCUUGGUGAUUAGUGGAUAUUUUUGGGCGGUCCGUGGUUUUUCCCACAUCGGGUUUUCCACGUUAAAUCCUUGGUGUCGUUAUUUUCUUUGUCUACUUAUCAUUUCAGCGUUAUAUUUGCAUUUUGUGAGGCUAUACAUUGCUGGUUGUUGCUGGGGGUUAAGAAAAUUUAGUUGAUUUUGCUUCCGGGGAGAAAUUGAUCAUGGAUUGCGUUUGGCUGUGGUGAAUUGUUGUACUCGAGUUCUCUCCAACAAGUGGUAUCAAAGCACGGUUGAAUUUUAGUGUUAAAUGGAAGAAACCAGCAGCACCAUGUUUAAGUUAAAUGCCUCGAAUUAUUCUAUUUGGAAGCCUCGGAUGGAAGAUGUGUUAUAUUGCAAAGACUUAUUUGAUCCUAUUGAGGGUGAUGAAGCCAAAGGAGAUAAGGAAGACAAAGAAUGAGAGAGAAUGAAUCGGAAAACGGUUGGGUUUAUCCGACAAUGGAUUGAUGAUAGUGUGUUUCAUCAUGUUGCUCAAGAAACAAAGGCGGACACUUUGUGGAAGAAAUUACAAGAUCUUUAUGAGAGAAAAACUCCACAAAAUAAAGCUUUUCUAGUUAAGCGACUUGUGAAUUUGAGAUACAAAGAGGGGAGUAACAUGUCGGAACACUUGAGUGAAUUUCAAGAUGUUGUAAAUCAAUUGACAAAUCUUGAGAUUGAUCUUGGUGAUGAAUUGCAGUCAUGCUUAUUACUUGGUACUCUUCCUGAUAGUUGGGACACUUUGGUUGUGGCAUUAAAUAACUCGGCUCCUUUUGGUGUGCUUUCUAUGAGCAUGGUUAAAGAAAGCUUGUUCAAUGAAGAAACAAGAAGAAAAGGCUUGAAUUAUGCCUCUACAUCAGAUGCUCUUGUUAUAGAAAACAGGGGGAGAAGUCAAUCAAGAAGGUUUCAAAGAAAUAAUACUCGAGGCAAGUCAAGAGGAAGGUCGAAAUCAAGAUCGAGGAGGAGUGUCAAGUGUUAUAAUUGCGGCAAAAUGGGACACUAUGCAAAAGAGUGUUGGUUGCCAAAGAGAGAUAGAUUCCAUGAUAGAAAUGGAGAUCAAAAGAAAGAAGAGAAACAAGCUACAACGGCGGUUGCAUCCGAUGGCGAUAUUGUGUUUGUAUGUGAUGACGGAUAUGUGAAUUUUACAUGCCAAGACUUUAUGUGGGUUGUUGAUUCCGCAGCUUCUUUUCAUGUCACCUCACGGCGUGAUUACUUUGCUUCUUAUCGCAGCGGCGACUUUGGUUGCAUAAGGAUGGGAAAUAGUGAUGUUUCCAAGGUUAUUGGCAUGGGAGAUGUUUAUUUGGAAACCGAUGUCGGAUGUAAUUUGCUUUUGAAAAAUGUGAGACAUGUCCCGGAUAUUAGACUUCACUUGAUCUCUACGGGUGCCUUAGAUGAUGAUGGUUAUUGUAAUUCAUUCUUUGAUGGCAAAUGGAAGUUGACUAAAGGUUCCAUGGUAGUGGCAAAAGGUAAGAAGACAGGCUCUCUCUAGACCAUGCAAGCUGACUUGAUUAAAGAAGAGGUAAAUGCAGUGGAGGAUUCCUUGGUUGAUUUAUGGCAUAUGAGGCUGGGCCAUCUUAGCAAGAAAUGACUUGAAACUCUUGCUAGAAAGAACCUUUUACCUUUGAAAGAGAAAAAUCUAAAGUAAUGCACUCAUUGUCUGACUGGUAAGCAACAUAGAUUCUCAUUUCAGAGUUCCUCUCCACACAGGAAAUUAAAUGUACUUGAUUUAGUUCACACUGAUGUUUGUUGCAUGGAUGCUAGAACUCUUGGAGGUGCAUUAUACUUUGUGACAUUUAUUGAUGACUGUUCUAGAAAAGUGUGGGCUAUUGCUUUGAAAUCUAAAAAUCAGGUACUUGAGGCUUUCAAGCAAUUUCAUGUCAAUGUGGAAAGAGAAACCGGGAAGAAGCUGAAAUGUGUUCGGGCUGACAACGGUGGUGAAUAUAGAGGCCCAUUUGAACACUAUUGUAGGGAUUAUGGUAUCAAGCUUGAGAAGACUGUUCCAAAAACACCACAGCAUAAUGGAGUGGCAGAGAGAAUGAACCGGACAAUUAAUGAUCGGAUUCGGUGUAUGCUUUCUCAUGCGAAGUUGUCUAAGUCAUUUUGGGGUGAAGCGAUGAGAACAUCAGUAGACUUGAUAAAUCUUUCUCCAUCGGUUCCUCUUAAGGGGGAUGUUCUGCAAAGAGUUUGGAGUGGCAAAGAUGUUUCCUACAGCCAUCUAAAAGUGUUCGGUUGUCGGGCAUUUGUGCAUGUUCCAAGAGAUGAAAGAUCCAAGCUUGAUGACAAGUCUAAACAGUGUAUCUUCUUAGGUUAUGGACAUGAAGAGUUUGGUUACAAGUUAUGGGAUCCAGUUGCAAAGAAGGUCAUUAGAAGCCGAGAUGUGGUGUUUUGUGAGUAUCAAACUAUUGAAGACAUUGACAAGGUGGAGAGACCAAAGAAUACAGCUCAACGUUCAGUUAGUUUCAGCCCAAAUCCUUCUAAUGUUGAUAGAAAUCAUGGAGAAGAAGUGCAAGGAAGUCAUGAAGAUGGUGAGUCCUCACAUAAUGUUGAUUCUUCAGCUGAUACAGGUGAAAUAACUGAGGAAGAGCAAUCUAUCAUACUUCAAGUUAGAAGAUCUGAAAGAGAGUGUAGGCCUUCUCAAAAACAUUUGCCACAUGAGUAUGUGUUACUCACUGAUGCAGGGGAGCCAGAAACUUAUGAAGAGGCAAUAUCAUGUGAAAGAAAGAAUGAGUGGCAUGAAGCCAUGCAAGAGGAGCUUAAAUCCCUGCAUGAGAACCACACAUUUGAAUUGGUGAGGUUGCCUCAGGGUAAGAGAACACUCACAAAUAAGUGGGUGUACAAGUUGAAGACGGAAGAAAAUAGUUUACAACCACGAUACAAGGCUAGACUUGUUGUGAAGGGCUUUCGUCAAAAGAAGGGCAUAGACUUUGAAGAGAUUUUUUCACCGGUUGUAAAGAUGUCUUCUAUUCGAGUUGUUCUUGGGUUGGCCGCCAGUUUAAAUUUAGAAAUUGAACAACUUGAUGUAAAGACGGCUUUUCUUCAUGGAGACCUAGAAGAGGAGAUAUAUAUGGAGCAACCAGAGGGUUUUGAAGUUGAAGGCAAGGAGCACCUUAUUUGUAGAUUGAGGAAAAGCUUAUAUGGUCUCAAGUAAGCGCCUAAGCAAUGGUAUAUGAAGUUUGAGUCAUUCAUGGAAGAACAAGGAUACGGUAAGACAAAUUCCGAUUCUUGUGUUUUUAUGAAAAGAUUCUCAGAUAAUGAUUUUCUUAUUCUCCUACUUUAUGUGGAUGAUAUGUUGAUUGUUGGGCAUGAUGCCAAGAAAAUCAAGAGUUUGAAAAAUGAGUUGAGUAAAGCUUUUGCAAUGAAAGACCUAGGCCCGGCUAAGCAAAUCUUAGGCAUGAGAAUUACUCGUGAUAGGAAGAAUAAGAAAUUGUGGUUAUCUCAAGAGAAGUAUAUUGAGAAGGUGCUUGAAAGAUUUAACAUGAGCACAUGUAAACCGGUGAGUACUCCACUUGCAGGCCAUUUCAAGUUGAGUAGUAAUGAGUGUCCUUCAAGUGAGAAAGAGAAGGUUGAGAUGAUGAAAAUUCCUUAUGCAUCGGCCGUGGGUAGUUUGAUGUAUGCCAUGGUUUGUACAAGACCGGAUAUUGCUCAUGUAGUUGGUGUUGUGAGUAGAUUUCUCUCUAAUCCAGGUAAGGAGCAUUGGACCACUAUUAAAUGGAUUUGAGAUAUCUUAGAGGCACUUCUACACUUUGCUUGUGCUAUGGAAAUGCAAAGCCUGAGUUGAGUGGUUUCUCGGAUGCGGACUAUGCCGGUGUUGCUCAUGUAGUUGGUGUUGUGAGUAGAUUUCUCUCUAAUCCAGGUAAGGAGCAUUGGACCACUGUUAAAUGGAUUUUGAGAUAUCUUAGAGGCACUUCUACACUUUGCUUGUGCUAUGGAAAUGCAAAGCCUAAGUUGAGUGGUUUCUCGGAUGCGGACUAUGCCGGUGAUGUUGAUUCCCGAAAAUCCACAUCGGGUUUUAUAAUAAUCUUUGCAGGGGGAGCUGCUUCAUGACAAUCGAGAUUGCAAAAAUGUACCGCUUUGUCUACAACUGAAGCGGAGUAUAUUGCUAUUAUCGAAGGAGGUAAAGAACUUUUGUGGAUGCAAAAAUUCCUACAAGAGUUGGGCUUGAAACAAGAGAAGUUUGUUCUAUAUUGCGAUAGCAUGAGUGCCAUCCAUCUUAGCAAGAAUCCAGUGUUUCAUUCAAGAUCGAAGCAUGUUGAUGUGAAGUAUCAUUGGAUCCGAGAAAAGCUAGAAGAUAAGCUCUUCCUACUUGAGAAAGUUCAUAUCGACAACAAUAAGUUCGACAUGAUGACCAAAGCCUUGCCUGUGAUGAAGCUUGAUGCUUGUAGAAGAAAAGCGGGCAUGAUGAAUCUUCCCACAUGAGGUGGAGGGGGAGAUUUGUUAGCUAGGUCCACCUUCAUGUGGGGCCUAGCUAGCACUAACAAUAAAAUUAAAAAAAAAGGAAAAAGAAAAGAAAAGAACAAAAAGAAGUGGAAGUUGUCGUACGUGGGGUGUCCGUCGAAAAGUGAAUAGAGGAGAGAGAAAAGGAAAAAAAAAAUUGCACAAGGAAGGAAGAAGAAGGAAGAGGGCUGCAACUUUGCGGCUUUGAUUCGAAGGCCAAAUAUUGACGGAAUCAGCUCAAAUUUCAGUAUGUUGUUCGUGAGACCGAGGGCUACAAGUUGAUGGUUUUUGUUCGUCGAGAACCGUUUCCGAAUCCUCCAGUUGCGGCUAAGGUUUUCUUGCUCCAAACUUAUUUGUCUACCUAUGUAGUGGGAAAAAAUGAUUGUAAUGUUGAUGUUGAGCCUCUAGUGUGUGACUAGAGAAGAAUACUUUGUGUAUCCUGCUAUUCUUGGUGAUUAGUGGAUAUUUUUGUGCGGUCCGUGGUUUUUCCCGCAUCGGGUUUUCCACGUUAAAAUCCUUGGUGUCGUUAUUUGCUUUGUCUACUUAUCAUUUCGGCGUUAUAUUUGCAUUUUGUGAGGCUAUACAUUGCUGGUUGUUGCUGGGGGUUAAGAGAAUUUAGUUGAUUUUGCUUCCGGGGAGAAAUUGAUCCUGGAUUGCGUUUGGCUGUGGUGAAUUGUUGUACCCGAAUUCUCCCCAACAACCAGGUGGGUCAUCGGUCCUUGUCAUGCUUUCAUUUCGUGUUCUAGUCAUUUUUACUAUCGCUGUUGUUGGAACGUGGCGAAGACAAAGUCAUCUUCUAUCAUCCAGGUCAUUUUCCCUAGACAGUAUCCUGUGAAAAGGCUUAUCUGCUUUACUAGGAAUGACAGAUUUUCUGAGAUGUUCGAAUAGAGAGGGUGAAGAGAAAGAGCACAUAUUUGCCAUUCAAGUAUCCGAAAGCUUGCGAAAAUUCGAAGAUAGAUUUGGGUAAAUGAAGUUUUCGAUGUGGAGAGAUGAAUCGCUUUGAAAUUCAUCGAUUACUCGUCGUGUGCCUUUUUCCUGGCCAACUUUCUAUCUGUUUCGACCGAGGUCACAAAGUCCCCCUUCUUUUGUUCAAAAGUCUUCAAUUCAACCUGAGUUACAUCAUUGUCAGCAUUCGAGAACAUGGGACCAAAUUCCAUCUGUAAAAGCCAGACCUUUUCGUUGCACAAUUAGUCAAUUAGACAAGAACAGAUCACAUGGAAUGUCUAAGCUCUGUCUUAAUCAUUGGGUUUCCCAUUCAUUUUGCUGGCCCCAAACAUACUCUUUGCGUGGUCCUCAUUAAGAAGAGAAAUUUAGAUUUAUAGUACUGGGUUAUAGCAAUCACUUGCCAGAGGAGGUGGGAUGGAGUUGACCAAAAAGGAUCCAGAGCCCAUAUGUUCC